rnacentral:rRNA from 1 species
CAAUAGCGUAUAUUAAAGUUGUUGCGGUAAAAAAGCUCGUAGUUGGAUUUCUACCGAAGAUAGCCGGUCGGGUCUUCGACCUUGUAUCUGGUUUUGUCUUUGGUAUCCUCAUAGGGAACGUUUCUGCGCUUUAUUGCGUGGUGCGGUAUCUAUGACUUUUACUUUGAGGAAAUUAGAGUGUUCACGGCAGGCAAACGCCUUGAAUAUAUUAGCAUGGAAUAAUAACAUAGGAUCUUCGUCCUAUUUUGUUGGUUUCUAGGGCUAAGAUAAUGAUUAAUAGGGAUAAUUGGGGGCAUCUGUAUCAACGCGUCAGAGGUGGAAUUCUUGGAUUGCGUUGCGACAAACUACUGCGAAAGCAUUUGCCAAGGAUGUUUUCAGUGA